UAACUGAAGAGUUUGAUCAUGGCUCAGAUUGAACGCUGGCGGCAGGCUUAACACAUGCAAGUCGAGCGGGGGAAGGUAGCUUGCUACUGGACCUAGCGGCGGACGGGUGAGUAAUGCUUAGGAAUCUGCCUAUUAGUGGGGGACAACAUCUCGAAAGGGAUGCUAAUACCGCAUACGUCCUACGGGAGAAAGCAGGGGAUCUUCGGACCUUGCGCUAAUAGAUGAGCCUAAGUCGGAUUAGCUAGUUGGUGGGGUAAAGGCCUACCAAGGCGACGAUCUGUAGCGGGUCUGAGAGGAUGAUCCGCCACACUGGGACUGAGACACGGCCCAGACUCCUACGGGAGG
rnacentral:rRNA from 1 species